UGAGUGAAGAAGGCUCUGGGUUGUUAGCUCUUUUGUAGGGGAAGAUAAUGACUGACCCUAAGAAUAAUGUCCGGCUAACUUCGUGCCAGCAGCCGCGGUAAUACGAAGGGACCUAGCGUAGUUCGGAAUUACUGGGCGUAAAGCGCGCGUAGGCCGUUGAGUUAGUUCAUUGUGAAAUCCCAAAGCUUAACUUUGGAACUGCAAUUAAAACUGCUCGACUAGAGUUUGAUAGAGGAAAGCGGAAUACAUAGUGUAGAGGUGAAAUUCGUAGAUAUUAUGUAGAACACCAGUUGCGAAGGCGGCUUUCUGGGUCAACACUGACGCUGAGGCGCGAAAGUAUGGGUAGCAAAGAGGAUUAGAUACCCUCGUAGUCCAUACCAUAAACGAUGAUUGCUAGAUGUUGGAAAUUUAUUUUCAGUAUCGCAGCUAACGCAUUAAGCAAUCCGCCUGGGGAGUACGAACGCAAGGUUAAAACUCAAAUGAAUUGACGGGGACCCGCAACAGCGGUGGAGCAUGUGGUUUAAUUCGAAGAUACGCGCAGAAACUU
rnacentral:rRNA from 1 species